GAUGAACGCUGGCGGCGUGCCUAAUACAUGCAAGUCGAGCGAACAGACGAGGAGCUUGCUCCUCUGACGUUAGCGGCGGACGGGUGAGUAACACGUGGAUAACCUACCUAUAAGACUGGGAUAACUUCGGGAAACCGGAGCUAAUACCGGAUAAUAUAUUGAACCGCAUGGUUCAAUAGUGAAAGACGGUUUUGCUGUCACUUAUAGAUGGAUCCGCGCCGCAUUAGCUAGUUGGUAAGGUAACGGCUUACCAAGGCAACGAUGCGUAGCCGACCUGAGAGGGUGAUCGGCCACCCUGGAAAUGAGACACGGUCCAGACCCCUAAGGGAGGCAGCAGUGGGGAAUAUUGCCCAAUGGGCGCAAGCCUGACGGAGCCACGCCGCGUGGGUGAAGAAGGGCUUCGGGUUGUAAAACCCUUUUUUUGGGGAAGAAAAAAAGUGGAAGUAAACAAGGCCGUUUUGACGGUACCCAAAGAAAAAGCCCCGGCUAACUUCGUG
rnacentral:rRNA from 1 species